UACGUAGGGCGCAAGCGUUAUCCGGAAUUAUUGGGCGUAAAGAGCUCGUAGGCGGUUUGUCGCGUCUGCCGUGAAAGUCCGGGGCUCAACUCCGGAUCUGCGGUGGGUACGGGCAGACUAGAGUGAUGUAGGGGAGACUGGAAUUCCUGGUGUAGCGGUGAAAUGCGCAGAUAUCAGGAGGAACACCGAUGGCGAAGGCAGGUCUCUGGGCCUAACUGACGCUGAGGAGCGAAAGCAUGGGGAGCGAACA
rnacentral:rRNA from 1 species